AACGAACGCUGGCGGCAGGCUUAACACAUGCAAGUCGAGCGCCCCGCAAGGGGAGCGGCAGACGGGUGAGUAACGCGUGGGAACGUGCCCUUUGGUUCGGAAUAACUCAGGGAAACUUGAGCUAAUACCGGAUAAGCCCUUUUGGGGAAAGAUUUAUCGCCGAAGGAUUGGCCCGCGUCCGAUUAGCUAGUUGGUGGGGUAAUGGCUCACCAAGGCGACGAUCGGUAGCUGGUCUGAGAGGAUGAUCAGCCACACUGGGACUGAGACACGGCCCAGACUCCUACGGGAGGCAGCAGUGGGGAAUAUUGGACAAUGGGGGCAACCCUGAUCCAGCCAUGCCGCGUGAGUGAUGAAGGCCCUAGGGUUGUAAAGCUCUUUCGGCGGGGACGAUAAUGACGGUACCCGCAGAAGAAGCCCCGGCUAACUUCGUGCCAGCCGCCGCGGUAA
rnacentral:rRNA from 1 species